rnacentral:rRNA from 1 species
AUUUUGAGCCAUAACAGCUUGUCAAAGCUUGAUCUUAUCAGAUCUCAGAAGCUAAGCAAGACCGGGCCUGGUUAAUACUUGAAUGAACCGCUGGGAAUAUCAGGUGCCACAGUG